GCUGGGCGUGGUGGCGCAUGCCUGUAGUCCCAGCUACUCGGGAGGCUGAGGCAGAAGAAUUGCUUGAACCCAGGAGGCGGAGGUUGCAGUGAGCCAAGAUCGUGCCACUGCACUCCAGCCUGGGCAACAAAGCAAGAUUCCAUCUCAA
rnacentral:sRNA from 1 species